rnacentral:tRNA from 1 species
UAGGAAAUAGUAUAAUGGGAGUACAAGGGGUUUUGAGCUCUUUGGUGCAAGUUCAAGUCUUGUUUUUCUAG